rnacentral:lncRNA from 1 species
UAAGGGCGGUGGAAGAGCAGGAUGUAGAGGGUAGGGGAUUCCGCGAGUCCUGAUCCCGCAGUUACUGUAUAUUAUAUAUACGUACAUAUAUACAGGUAUGUGUACACCUCUGAUGCCUAUACAUAUACAUGGUAUGUAUACGUACACUAAAACCGGGAGUGAGGCCAUAGAGGCGAGUGAAACGAGUAGGAAGGAGGAGGAUCGUGUGCCUGCGCAACAAGUAAAGGACAACGAUCAAUACGCAAUAUACAGGGAGUCCGAAAAGCAGCCAAUGCAGCAGAAUUUUAAUGCCCAAGAUAAGCUGCACUUUCAUCAAGCAGCUGUGCAGAGUCAUAUUUGGAAGACACCGAGUAGGGAGAAAGUCGAGUUUCAACCCUCGUGGAAUCAUGCGUAAGCUGCCACCCCUAGUCCUCCCCUAUUGCAUCUUGAAAACGAGAUGAGAGAACAAUGGGCAUCAUAUGCCAACAAAGUUAUCAUGGACGUUGAAUAGGCGAUGAAAUUAUUCACGGGCAAUCUGUCCUAACGAAGUUAAUUUUCGUCCCGCUCUCGAAAUCUGCAUAUUCAGCAAGAUAACGUCGUAUACAUACCAACCUGUACAUACAUACACCUAUGUACAUACAUAUAGGUAUACCGAGUACAUAACAACUUGAAAAUAGGGAUCAAGUGUUGCACGGUUGAUGACAUUUCCCGAUGUGCGAUGACACGUCGGUGUACUUAUGGGAUUGCGCUGUCAACCUUUCGCAUCUUUCGUGCGAGGAGAAUUCUCACCCCUUAUGGCGUACACCCCGCAAAUACCUAAGGCACGUGGCAGUGAAGCUGUAGUAGGGCAUUUUAUAUUUAUUCUGUGACAUUAGGCAGCUGAAACCUAUAGGUAUACCACAGUGUACUACAAUAUUAUGGGGUUGACUGCUGCUACUAAGAACCCUGAGUUGCUUUCCUCAGAAAUAAUUUACCCUCUGCAGAAACAGGAACAGAAACAGAAAUAGCAUUUACCACUUGAUGACGGAAGCGAGUUAACUCACCGCAGCAUGGAAAAAGGAACCCUCUUGACGAUGAGCAUAAGCCUGCUAUACAUGGGGUAGCAAAAGGCAUAAGUAAAUGGACUAUGGCCGUACGUACGUACGUACUUGUACGAGGCAUUUCGUAUCAACUCAACCAGCAGGUUGAGAUGGAAACAAUAUUCUAGAAGCUGAACGGAGAUCUACAAUUUCCUUAGGGUGCGACGUCGUAGUCGUCGUUACCUUAUAAACUGAUUUCCUAUCCUCAGUCAUAACUUACGACAUGGAUCGUUCAUUCGAUAAGGAAAACUUGCAGGAUUACGUGAUAACGGUGCCAACCCUUUUGAAGAAGGAAAGAAAGGGAAGGAACAAAUUGUAAAGACUUUUCAUCCGCUAUUCAGGUAAGAUAUUUUAUCUCAUUAUGAUUAAACAGAAGAACCGCGAAUUUAAAAUAUUCUGUAAGUUUUAAUUAAUGAUAUCUGCGUAAAGGGAACGAAUGAUGAUUUUGUUUUUUUAUCUUUAUUUAUUAUUUUGUUUAAUUGUUGUUGAAACGUUAAGCAAAAAUGGCUCCGCAGGUGAAGCAAUGAUAAAAUUAUUGUUUCGUUGAGGAUGUUUUAUCAGGAGGGGUUGUUGCCGAUGCACACUGAAUUAUAUCGCACACCGCGGGGUCCUCAGUUCUGCAGGACGAUUCUGCUACAUCCAUACCACCACAUUUUACCACCACUCCGGAGCUUUUGCUAAACCCAAGCGUGCCGCAAUAUCGUUCGUUUUGUGAUCUCUGAAAGUCCCGCUCGGAAGCGCAGACGCGACUCCCAUUCGCCUUUCAUACUCCACCUCAUCCUCUUUCAACAUUCUAGCAUCACCCCGCUUAUUUCAUCCCCUUGCAAUAAUAUCCAUUCACAUAGGUAUACACGAACGACGAAAACAACCGACUAAGGGUAGGCCGCACCUGUGACCAAUUCGUAUUAUUACCACCGUUUCAAAUUACACAAGUAUACAAUACAACCCUGCGAAAAAACUUCCUGCGCAAUAACGUGACAUUUUUCUCUCACUUGAUAAUUAGAUCCUCAUUCCGAAUUUCAUUUCGUUUCUAUUUUUCAGGGAUCACAAGAGAGAAGAUAUUCAAGGCUUGUUCCAAAGUGUAAUUCUUCUUCUUCAUUUUAUCGAGACUUUUCUACUUCUUGAUGCAGAGAAUUAUCAUCGACUGGAAGUCGUUAUUUGGAAAACUAUUACGAUACCUAGAUACCCUAGCGGCUUACGGUAUCAUGCAGGCUAACGUCGGAAUCCAACCAAAAAAUAGCCAUAUCUCGGAUCACCGAGUUGUCGGAAAAUUCUAAG